GUUGCAACCGACUGAGUUGAGAACCGGUUCGUGGGUUAGUGAAGCUGUGGUGAGGGGUUCACGUUCUGAAACCCUAACGGUGCCGUCUGCGAAUCAAUCCUCCGAGAACGGUCGGUCUGAUGGUUUGCCUGUCAAUUCUGCUGUGCAGUCACUCGAAGGAGCUGAAUUGAAGCAAGCUCCAUCUUCCCGCAAUGAGCAAAAGGCUGUUGAAG
rnacentral:misc_RNA from 1 species